UACGGGGGGGGCAAGCGUUGUUCGGAAUUACUGGGCGUAAAGGGCUCGUAGGUGGCCAACUAAGUCAGACGUGAAAUCCCUCGGCUCAGCCGGGGAACUGCGUCUGAUACUGGAUGGCUUGAAUCCGGGAGAGGGAUGCGGAAUUCCAGGUGUAGCGGUGAAAUGCGUAGAUAUCUGGAGGAACACCGGUGGCGAAGGCGGCAUCCUGGACCGGUAUUGACACUGAGGAGCGAAAGCCAGGGGAGCAAACGGG
rnacentral:rRNA from 1 species